rnacentral:rRNA from 1 species
GAUGAACGCUAGCGGCAGGCUUAACACAUGCAAGUCGAGGGGCAGCACGUCUUCGGAUGGUGGCGACCGGCGCACGGGUGAGUAACGCGUAUGCAAUCUACCUUUUACAGGGGCAUAGCCCGGGGAAUCCCGGAUUAAUAUCCUAUAGUACCAUUAUAUAGCAUUAUAUUAUGGUUAAAGUUUCGGCGGUAAAAGAUGAGCAUGCGUCCUAUUAGCUUGAUGGUAAGGUAUCGGCUUACCAUGGCUAUGAUAGGUAGGGGUCCUGAGAGGGAGACCCCCCACACUGGUACUGAGACACGGACCAGACUCCUACGGGAGGCAGCAGUGAGGAAUAUUGGACAAUGGGCGCAAGCCUGAUCCAGCCAUGCCGCGUGCAGGAAGACGGCCCUAUGGGUUGUAAACUGCUUUUAUACGGGAAGAAACACCCCUUCGUGAAGGGACUUGACGGUACCGUAUGAAUAAGGAUCGGCUAACUCCGUGCCAGCAGCCGCGGUAAUACGGG